UAAGGAAUAUUGGUCAAUGGACGCAAGUCUGAACCAGCCAUGCCGCGUGGAGGAUGAAGGUCCUCUGGAUUGUAAACUUCUUUUAUCUGGGACGAAACACUUCUUUUCUAAGAGGCCUGACGGUACCAGAUGAAUAAGCACCGGCUAACUCCGUGCCAGCAGCCGCGGUAAUACGGAGGGUGCAAGCGUUAUCCGGAUUCACUGGGUUUAAAGGGUGCGUAGGUGGGUAUGUAAGUCAGAGGUGAAAUCCCCGAGCUUAACUUGGGAACUGCCUUUGAUACUAUAUAUCUUGAAUACCGUAGAGGUAAGCGGAAUAUGUCAUGUAGCGGUGAAAUGCUUAGAUAUGACAUGGAACACCAAUUGCGAAGGCAGCUUACUAUGCGGUUAUUGACACUGAGGCACGAAAGCGUGGGUAGCAAACA
rnacentral:rRNA from 1 species